AGAGGAUCUAGGAAGGUCAAGCUUUAAACAUAAGCUGUGAUGCAACUUUACUGUAGUGGCGCUGCUGCACCACUAUAAUGCUUGAAGGGGAAGAUAUUUUAUUAACAUUAAUAAAUUUCUUUCAAGCCACUGGCAUCCUGUCCUGGAACGUUUUUUGUGAAUAGGCUAUUUACAAGAAGAUAGCACACUAUUGAUCCUGGCCUGGACACCACUCAACUGAGGGAAUUAAUUGAAGUACAGUGCAUCCUCACUACAAUAUUCUGUGAACCUCGGCAGCAGGAGGUUGGGGAGUGAGAACUGGAGUACAGCCAGAGAGAGGGAGGGACAGAAGCAGAGACUAGCUAGUGCAGCAGCUGAGGUCUGGGGAUCUGAUACUGCUGUGUUGCCCUGGAAACCGGAUCCUGAUCCACAUUUAGAUUUUUUGAAGAUCCAUCAGUAGAUCCUACAGGAGAGACUCUUACAGACCCAGUUUCAAGUUCAGCUGUGGCUAGAAAGAACAAGAAAAACAAAUGACCAUAUAUGUUCUGUGUUAUGUUGUGUGAUAGUUUUACAAUAGGCUUUGUCAUUAAACCCAUUGAAUUUUUUCCACUGACAGCGGUGGACAUUGUGUCAGGUCCAGAGACAGCAGAUACACAUUUUAAAUCAAUACAAAGGAAACACGAUGAAAAUUACACAAAAGGGAUAUUCAUAAAGGAAGAGACCAGAUUUUUUAAUUAUAUAAGCAAUACAUUAGCCUUUUUGCUAAUCAGUAAAUAACUGUUAGUAUUUCAAGGGCUAUCAAAAAUCAUAGGUCAAAUCCACAGAUGCUCUAAGCACACCAAAUUCCAAUAAAGACAACGGAAUGAGAAUUGCUUUUUCUAGUGACAAAUUUGGAAGAAUAUGAAUUGUAUACAAUAAUACUGAUUAAAAUAUGUGUGAGAGGAGAAGUGAUUUUUAAAGUUUGUGAAAAAUCUUAAAGAGGAUUUACUGUAUUUGUGUUAAUCCUAUGUGUAUGGUAUUUGUGAAUUCCUGCAAAACUGACUUCAGAUUAAGACAUUCUUUUGUGGGGGAAUUACAUAGUAUUUUGUACAGCACUUUGGUAAGUGGGCAGUCCUUGCAAAAUUUUUUUUACCAAAUUUGAAAAUUAGUAGAAACAGCAAUGGUGUCUGACAUAAUAGCUUAAUACUAUUUUUGAAUUAUAACUAUAUCAUAAAUGAUAUUUAGUAACACUCAGUUUUUGAAAAAAAAAUGUUAACAUGCCCUAACAAAUUACCUUGGUCAAGUUCCUUAGUGAUACUUUUUUCUAGUUCCUGCUGCAUCUGAAAUUAAAUAUUAACAAUAUUUUACAUAUAAACAGUGUAGGAUAGUUUGUGUCACAAAAAUAUUGCUAUAUAUUUAAAAACAAAUACAUAGUGUAACUAAAAGUGAAACCGAAAUCCUGAACAGAGAUUUAGUUUUGUUUUGGAGAAAAUCUUUAUUAGCUGAGUCUUCAUAUCUGAUGGUUGAACAAUAUCAGCAGCAUCGUAAAACAAUCUAUACCUUCACAGACAUCAUAGAAAUGUAGGGUUGGAAGGGAUCUCAAGAGGUCAUCAAGUCCAGCCUCCUGCACUGAGUCAGGACCAAAUAAACCAGACCAUCUCAACUGACUAGACAGUUGCUAAUUAGCCUCUUCUAUCCCUAUGAAGUAUUUUUACAAACUGUAAUUAACUAUAGCUCAGAAGAGUGUUGGACUCUUGGCUUUUACUCCCCUUCAUGCACAUGCUGCUUAAUAAACCGUCCUUACUAGUUGUUGGCUUAUUAAUGUAUUUAACUAAUGAUAAAUGAUUCAUAAUUUAGUAAUUAAACACAUACAAACAAGCACAAUCAAUUAAUAAUGGAGGGCUAAAUUCUAUCUUCAGAUAUGUGAAUAAAACCACAAUUAAAUUCAGCAGUGGAUAUAUGUAUCUAAUUCUAAGUUUGACCUGUUAAAAAUAUGAGGCCCAGUCCUGCAACCCAAUGAAGCUACUGUUGCAUGAAUAAGUUUUGCAAGAUUGAGUCCUUAAAUUGUAUAUAAAAAUAAAGUAUCAGUAUUUAAUUUAGCUUCUAUAAAAAUGUACAGUAUCAGUUUACUGCAAGGCCCUCAGAUCACACUGAGAACCUUCUCUCUAUCUUUGUGAAAAGAUGCAACACUCAUCUCUUUUUGUCAUCCUUCUCUUAAGGAUGGUGAAAUGAUGGUUAUGGGAUCGGAGAACAAGUUCUGCACCUUUGUAUUAAGUGGCUUAAAUUGACUAGGAGAAACGGAAAGUGUCCACAAUAGACUUUCCAUUAAGACAGUCAAUGACCUGAAGAAUUUAAAAUCUAAACAGACAAGACACAACAACAGCCAGCAUAUAAGAAAGCAUAAUUUCUAAAUAUAUGGAGCUAGCACACAGAUAUAACAGUGGUUAAUUUACUCACCAGUUCACCAUUUUGGGAUGAAGAAACUGCUUCAGUAAGGGAGUAAGGUAAGACACAAUUGGGGAAAGCGUAAGAACAGAAAGAACCCUCCAGAGAGCACAGAGUCUGUCUGGUACUGAGUGGCAAGGCGAACUGUUUAGAGUGCACAUAGGUGCCUUCUGUUGGAUUUAUGGGAUAACUGGAAUCAAAUUAAGAAGCAUGCCAAUGGAAAGAACCAUCAGGAAGCCAAGGUGGGGAGAUUCUGAAAAUUCUGUACCUUAAUGGGUAAAAAAGGGAACUGGAGAAAAGGAGCCCCUAAAUCCCAAAGCUCCAAAUUAUGUAUGGCCAGGAAGAACAGCAACAAAGCCCUGGAAAGAAAAAGGCUAUUAGGGUUGAGGGGAAGAAGCUGAAGGAGCAGAAGACAGCAAGAAGUGGGGAGUCAAACAGCCCACCAUGGGAGGAGACUAGCCAGGAUUCCUGGGAAAGGAGAAGUUAUGCAGUCUGAAAAAGUGCAUCCACAAUCUGUUUCUGGAGCCUGCAUAAACAGGUGCAUGACAUACACAGAUUACUGAAUAUCUGCUCUACUGGUACAGAAUCAUCAGUCAGGAUCCUCCUUGGCCUUCCCUUGAUCCAUUUCAUCCUAUUUUUACUUCUUCUUUUUCUUCUCCCAAAGCCUGAAGUCAUCCCUCUUAUUCUCAUCCAUAUCUGUCAAAGAGGGACCAAGUGGAAAGAAAAAGCUGAGAAGAGAUGGCUAAGAGUUGUGUUUCACACUUCCAGGAAAGGAAGCAAAGAAUACUAGGGUGUUCAGGAGUCAACCUACAUAUAUCUUGGGCAUUAUUUUUGAUUCACCUCUCCUCUGUCAGGAAGACUCUGAUUCUCUUGUGCCUUUCUCAGCUCCUAUUGUGGACUAUCCUCAGAGAGAUCAGGGAACUCUUCUUUAACUUUAUCAUGAACCUGUGUGACUGAAGUAUCGAGAGAGUCAGCUGGGUCACUUCCGAUGAGGUUCCUGGGGAUGAUCCUCUAAUGAGCAUGUCAUUUAAGAAUUAUUACAGAUGAGUCCCUAAACUCACAUGAUUUAUUAUCAAUGUCAGUACCUUUAUGAACCUGAGUAGAGACAGAUGACAGGAGUAAUACUUUGUAUUUGUAGUGACUACUUCUGUUGGGAGGGAACAAAAAAAAUUGAAGAAAUUGCUAGUGACGGCAGUGGAGUGGAAUAUGCAGCUCAGCUUCUGUCAGUUCUGCUGGAGAGAUUGUAAAAAAUAAUGGAAGCUAGAAUCUGAUCCUGAAUUUAAUUCUUCUUCAUUGACCUGUUCAGCCUCUUGAGGUCUAAGAUGGCUUGGAUUCUUCCUGAUCUUUCCCUUACUAUGAAGAAUAUGGAAUAGAACCCUGAAAACAUUUGGUCUUGAGAGAGAGGCUCUACUCCUCAUAGCUCUGGGAGAUGACAGAUCUACUUAGGAUGGCUUGCUGUGUCUUAAGGCUGCAGAAUGGAUAAAGAUGUAGAAGAGCCUGGAGCACCAGAGAUUAUCAGUGUUGUACUCUUAUGUUGAUUGGAACCAUGUGUCUAAGUGCCCUCCAGGAGUAUUUCUGGGUGGAAUCAGGCACAGUUGCAUCCAUACUGACUGUUUGGAUUGGAAACAAGGGCUAAACUUGUUCCUGAUCAGGACUUGUCUGUGGGUUACUGUUUAUCCUGGAAUAAGAGAAGUCCCUUAUCUGGUGGCCUGUGUUGUGGGUAGCAAUGAAAGGAGCUUUUGUAUAAGAACUGUAGUCCUUUAAUCUUUUCUGGUGUAGAGAAUAAAUACUUUCACUUCCACCUUAUCUCAGUGUCUACCUAAACAGGAUUCCCACCUGAGAACUUUGAGGCACAGGGGGAUUUGCUUUGAAUAGUUUUGCACAGCCUUUUGCUGCCAGCUUCAUGAAAUCCAUGGAUACAUCUGCCACAAAUGUAGUUGCUUGGGAUAGUUUCUUCAGUGUUGACUUGACCUUGUCAUGGGCUUCUGGUGGUCCAAGCUUUUCAACUCACUGCACCAGGACUUCAUGGCUCUAGUGAAGAAUAUGCUUGCCAAUGAGUGCCUAUGGGUUUAUCUACACAGCAAUUAAAAACCUGCCAGAUGGGAGGGUCUCAGAGCUUGGGCUGUAGCCUGAGCCUGAAGGUCCACACUAAUUAAACAGCCUCUCAGCCUGAGCCUUUUGAUCCUGAGUCAGCUGGCACAGGCUCCCUUGGGUGUCUAAUUGCAGUGUAGACAUACUCUAUGGAUCACUGAAGAAAUUUCCAAGUCCUAUCUAAAGGUAGCGUCCAUCUUCUUAUCUGCAAUGUCUUUUGGGAAGAAAUAACGAUUGGUAAGAUUAGCACAAAUUUUUACUUGGGGAGUUUCUGUUAAUCAGCUUUAGGGAGAAUAACGAACCUUUGGCUUUUAAGAUCCUAUGAAACUCUAGAGCUUGUUGACAGCUUUUUUUGUCUUCGGUUGGGAGUUUCUUAUCCUUCCCCAGGAAAGAGGAGUGGAGGAUGAAAAGGAAGUCAGAAAACUAUUAACAUCAAGAAAAAUGAAAAACUAAACUAUAAAAAAUACAAACUUAAAUUAUAAAGUAAGUAUUGAGGUCUAGACUGAUAAGCAAAAAGGAAAUGAAAGGGUCAUCAUAUACAGUACUGUAGCAUGACACUAGUCCAUAUACAGUAAAUGCACAACUGAUGGACUUUUCCAGGAUUCAGUGGAUUAGAUAACUAUAAGUCGGUCCUCGUGAGAAACUCUAAGAGUGGAUUUUACAAAAGAAAGACUAAGUUACCUAAAGAUAAAAAAAUUAUAUCCACCAACCCCUGCUGUUUAAAGACAGCCAUGAUUCAAAUAUAAUAAAUAUAAUGCUGCAUAUUCCGUUCUUCAGUACUGAUCAAUGGUAUCAUUUUAGAUGUUGUCAGUGUUACACACAAAUAUAUAAAACACAGCAGUACUGUCUUGCUAAUUUAAAUAAUUAUGCUAUUCAUUUUUGUAAAGUAUAACAAAAGUAUAAACUGAGUUUUAAAAUUUGCAAUAUGAUGACAAUCCAGACAAAAUCUGUUCUUAAUUGAAAUUAAAAUUUAAACAAUACACACAGACAAACGUGCCCAGUAAAAACAACUACAUUGUAUUAAGCAAUACUGACUACACACCUUGCCAUGCAUCUGGUUGCAGAGAAGAGAAGGAAGAAACAGACUUUUGAUCAAGGAGCUGAAGAAGUAAGAACAAAAGCCAAUAAGUUUAUAGGUCUUGGAAGUCAGAACUGAAAAAUGACCCAUAAAUAAAUGAAGAAAAUAAAAUUACUUAGGAUUUUUGAAUACUGUAUUACAAGAGAGUGCAGAUGGAAAAAGACUGGAAACAGAACUGAAAUUUAGAGAUAAAAUAAGGAGAUUCCGCCUAUUUUCACAGAUUAAAAGAUGUGCUUUAUAACUAUACUGACUCAUGCUUAGUGUGGUUGGCAAUAGAGAUCACUAUUGUUUUCCAAGGUAAACUGUUUAUUUUUAUUAACUAUAUUUUAAAAUAUUCAUCUAUUAAUUUUAUGCAUAUCCCUUUGUUUAAUGUUUACUAAGGCCUCAGUCCUGCAAAGAACUCCGCAUGGGCAGAUCUCCCCUAAAGUCAUCAGAGCUCCCUGAAAGAUUGGGGCCUAUUGGCUAGAAACUAUCCUAGUGAACAGUGUGCAGAUCUCCCUCUGCCCCUGCAUAAGGGAGGGCAACGCAUAUUCCUCACUUCCUCCUGGCUACAGAGAAGCUCUGCUGUUGGAGAUGCAGAGAGUUAGGAGGAGUUGAGGUGGGCUCGCAAAUUUAAACCUCCUUUCCUUCAUAACACUGUAAAUUAUCUAAGUUACUACAGAUGCAGUUUGCAGUGGAUUUCCCAAGUACUUAUAGUUGCUGUUUCUUCAGAAUAAAGUUGUAUUUUUAAUAUGAAAACUGUAUGUUAUUUAUCUGUAGUUUUGUAUUUAAGGCCGACCAAUGUGGGUCGUUAACAUGUACAUAUUUUUUUGUUUCCUUUUCAAAAAGGUUUUAUAUGCAGUGUUUACAUUUCGAGGUUACUGAUGAAUAUAGUAUUUAUUCUGGGUCAGAGUUAAGGGGGCCGUGAUUAGAUUAAAUAUGCUU